GUAAAACCUCGUUCGUUGCAGUAUAUUUUGAACAAAUAAACAAUUUAUUAGGAACAUACGUUCAAGAAACGUCUCGUGCUGUACUAGCCUAAUUCUGGCAAAUGUUAUUUACUUUUUUCACCUUCGUGUCGACGACUGUUGUUUGCUGAUGGCCAAAUCACGACAGCGGACAUCAAUUAUUCAAAAUAUGUUCUUAUAGCUUCACGUUUACGAUACGAAUGUAAGAUUAUUUAUUUUUUGUAUAUGUAGGCUCUAGUUGAAAGUAACAGCGACGAUGAAAAAAGUGCACACAACAUUGAAAUAUCCAGUUCACUACUAGCUCAAAUCCUGCGACAUAUCACUUGCCAGUAGCCCAGUCUAGUUUAACUUUGCCCAAUCAAGAAUCAUCUCCUGAAUCAGGCAUACUGGCAACACUGGUUCAUUUGAUAAUGUAAGUUUUUAAACUGGUAUUUUAGAUUUAUAUAGCCUCUGUCAAAUCAGGAUGAAAGUCAUGCAUGAAUUGCUUAUCAAUACACAAGGACAUUUCAAGUUCCAGAUGAACAAAAUAUUAUUAAAGCUUUGAUGAGUGUUCUGCAACUAUGUUUCAACUUUAAAAUACUCUCAUCCUCGUUUGACCCAUAAUUAUUUGUUGAUUUUACUCGAUACUAAAUAGUGAAACAUCGAAUCCAGAGAAAAUCUUUAUAUGCAGAACCCACUGUAAUUCCGAGCUGUAAUCACAUAAUUAUAUAAAAGUCGUUUCAGGAGCAGCAAAAGCCAAACUAAACACCAAUCUAGGAUUAAUAGGUUUAGCUUUUAGGCCGAGAAUAAUACACGAUUGACAAUUUUGUGGCUGAUUGAUUAUAAUUAAUUAAUAGUAUACUGUAUAUUGAUGUUGUUGUAUACAGGACAUCUGACUUACAUGUCAAAUUAAUAGUCGAAUCUAUGAUUAUAUUGAGCAUGGCAGAUUUGACAUUUGAAACAUUGUUGAUGUUAAUAACCCAUUGAGUCGCAUUGCGCCCUGAUGCGCACUAAGUAUUUAUUAUUUUACUCUGGCUAUCUAACGCUAGCAAUUUUACUCAUCAAGGGGAGAGCACUGGCGGUUAAUGUGUUAACUAGCCUAUCUGCCCAUGUGUACAUAGUUAACCCAUUGAGUCGCAUUGUGCCCUAAUGCGGCCUAAUUUAUUAUUUUACUCUGCCUAUCGCAGGACAAUAUUAAGGGCAGAGCGCUGGCGCUUAAUGUGUUAACUAGCCUAUCUGCCCAUGUGUGUUGUUAACACAUUGAGUUGCAUUGUGCCCUAAUUUAUUAUUUUACUCUGUCUAACACCAGAUGAUUUUACUCGUCAAGGUAAGGGCGCUGGUGCUUAAUGGGGUUAACUGGCCUAUUUGCCCGUGUUUAUAGUUAACCCAUUGAGUCGCAUUGCGACCUAUUUUAUUUUUUUUACUCUGUCUUGAGAGGAGAACGCUGGUGCUUAAUGGGGUUAAUAUUGAAAAUAUAGAUCAACAUUUGUCAAAACGCAUGACUUGUGCAAUCAUUUCUGUAAUAAUUAAGAUAUUAAUUAAAAUACCAAAUAUAAUGCCUUAUGGCUUAUUUCAAAUAGGGAGAUGCUAUGUAUGUCCAUUGAAACUUAGUGGAUUUGUUGUAGUACAUCAAAUAAAUGCUAGCCAUAAACAUAUUCAAGUCAAUCGAAGAGAAUGUAGAAUUGCACUUUACAUAAAAUUCCCUAGUUAUUGGACGUUAAUGAAAAAAAAAAGCAUUUGAAAUGAAAUAUAUUGUUUUAAUUUUAUUUCUAUGGUUUGUACUAUGAUAUACAUGGGCUACACACUCUUUGGGAACCCGCAGGGCUGUUGGCAGAGCAUUUCCAUGAUCUGGAACUUCAGUCCUAAACACGAUGUGUGGGUGCGAAGAUGUUGUGUAGGAACAGAACUGUACAGAUUAGAAAUAUGAUUACUGAUAUUUUCCAAAGAAAAACUAUUAAUAUAUAGAAGAGGAAAGAAAGAGGCAAUUUGAAAUUUAAAAAUGGUAGGCUUAUUAGGAUGAGAUACAGAGAAAAACAGUAAUGCAGAACUACAUUCUCUUAAAUUGUCAAAAUUAAACGCUACCAAUCCUGGUCUCGUUUCAAACUUGAAUAACAAAAGUCUAAAAAUAUAAAAACUAUGAGAACAGAUCAGCUAAGUCCAGUUAUAAAAUUAAAUGAUGAAGGAAAGCUAUCAUUUUAGGGAAGUGUUGUUUUGGGGUGUGUAAACUCAUGAGGUUACAUGUUUCUGGUGAAUCUGUGCUUGCUGCAGCAAAAAUUUAUUAAUCGUUUGUGAUAUAAUUCACAAGAUGUCUAUUUUAACCUGUGGGUUGUGGAAUUUGUUUUGUCUGACCAAGAUAUAAUGAAUACCACUAGUGACAUGAGCAUGUCCAAUUAAUAUUUAACUAGAAAUAAAUGCAUGCAGCAACCCUUUGCCUAUAUUUUCCAAACAUUGAUUUAACAUGAACUAUUAGCAAUUGGCCAGCACUGAACGCAGUCUCGCGUUGUGUCAAGUGUUGUCAAGGCAACAUAAUGUCACAUAUUUUAAAUUUUUUUGAGUAAUUUUGCAAGUGUUCAUACCACAGAAUCUACCAUACAUAAUUUUAAACAAAUAGAUAGGUGAAGUAAUUCAAACAAAAUGAUUUUGAACUUUAUUACUCUACUCUGUCGAACGCCUAUUCUACUCGUAAAGGGGAGAGCCCUGGUGCUUAAUGGGUUAAAUAAGAUCGUAUAGUUAUAUGUAUAUCAUGUAUUAUGUUUUUAUGCAGUCUCCCUGAAUCACUUGUACCAGGCUAUGGAAAUUCAUGUUUCCAAUUUUGUAUUUAUUUUUCUUAUGAUGCAGUAUACUGUAAAUUUGAAUAAUAUUUGUGUGCUUAUAGUGAGCUUAUUUUUAGGAGAGUUUGUUGCGAGGCAGCAUAUAUUUUGAUUUUUCAAAAUAUUACUGUAUAUUGGUAUGUUAUACUUAAUAUUAGAAUGUUAGGGUUUGGAAUCCUAGUGAGAAUAUAUACAUUUUAAGACCUAACCAGGAACGACUGCGAAAAAUGCAGCACAAGGUCCUCUGGUAGGAAUCAAACCUACGGC
rnacentral:lncRNA from 1 species